UGACCUUGACCUUAGAGUUUAACCCACUUUAAGAAAACAAUAUUUUUACCUUGACGUAGAGGUUUACCCACAAUUAGGAAAUCUUUAACCUUGGUCAUAACUUUAAAACUUUUAAAGUAAAACCAUGCCUUUAAUAUUCCAGAGGUUUGUACCUAGUUUUGAAAAUCCUUAACCAUAGCUAAAACUUCUGAUUCAUUAGUGCUAGACCCUUUAUAUAACACGUAUAUCUCUGGUCAUAAGACCCCCCCCCUUGUUAACAUUAAUUUUGACCUUUGACCUUGGGGUUCAUUAAAAAAACUUUAACUGCCACAACUUUUAAAUGGUAGAUUUCAUAGGUAUAUUUACUGAGACAAGUCCUUUCUUUUGGAAACAAAAUUUUGAAUCUUUUAAUCUUGAUUUUGGAGUUUGACUUGCAUUUUCCCCAUAAGCUGCAAAACACAUAGGGCAUUAAUGUUUAAAAAAUCUUAUCUAUUUGUCUUUAAACUUCUGAUUGUUUUAUGGUUUUUCAAAUUAAAAUAUAGUAAAAAAAUUAUUAUUGAUAAGGUAUGUGUACAUGUAUCUUGUUUAUGGCCUUAAGAUAGCAAUGGAUCACGUAAUGCCAUCAUGUGUUGCCAAAUGGACAUUGGUACUUACAUAUAGCUCUGUUUGUUUGUUGUUUAACAUCCCUCUCAAGCAUUUCUCACUCACAUGGAAACGCCACCACUUGCGACAUAUUUGCAACUAUGAUAACUGUGCAUUUCUAGUUGUUAUUAUGUGCCCCGAUUGAUAGAUUCAGGGCGUAAAUUGUUAUUGUCCUGUCUGAUUGUCUGUUUAUCUGCCUGUCUGUUGUCAACUUUGACCUUUGCCAUAACUUUUGAACCAUGAGAGAUUUCAUAUUUAGUAUGCAACUAUGCAUACUCCACUAAUUAAGUUCUUUCAAAUGAUAUCAAGGUCAAUGACCUUGUGACCUUGAAUGUGACCUAUAUGCUAAAAACAGCUUUUUCGAACUUUGUUGCCACCGAGCGCAUAGUGUUUCACAAACAAAUCUUGUUUUCAUAUUACAAAAAAUAACACUUUCAUUUUCUUGACAUUAUGAAAUUUAAAAUAACAACAAGAAUAUCAAAUUUAUUCAACAAAUAAAUUACUGUACAUGUAUAUAUUUCAAUUUGAA